rnacentral:rRNA from 1 species
CCUACGGGAGGCUGCAGUGAGGAAUAUUGGUCAAUGGACGAGAGUCUGAACCAGCCAAGUAGCGUGAAGGAUGACUGCCCUAUGGGUUGUAAACUUCUUUUAUAUGGGAAUAAAAUGUUCCACGUGUGGGAUUUUGUAUGUACCAUAUGAAUAAGGAUCGGCUAACUCCGUGCCAGCAGCCGCGGUAAUACGGAGGAUCCGAGCGUUAUCCGGAUUUAUUGGGUUUAAAGGGAGCGUAGGUGGAUUGUUAAGUCAGUUGUGAAAGUUUGCGGCUCAACCGUAAAAUUGCAGUUGAAACUGGCAGUCUUGAGUACAGUAGAGGUGGGCGGAAUUCGUGGUGUAGCGGUGAAAGGCUUAGAUAUCACGAAGAACUCCGAUUGCGAAGGUAGCUCACUGGACUGCAACUGACACUGAGGCUCGAAAGUGUGGGUAUCAAACAGGAUUAGAUACCCGAGUAGUC